AUUGAACGCUGGCGGCAUGCUUUACACAUGCAAGUCGAACGGCAGCGCGGGCUUCGGCCUGGCGGCGAGUGGCGAACGGGUGAGUAAUGCAUCGGAACGUGCCCAGUAGUGGGGGAUAGCCCGGCGAAAGCCGGAUUAAUACCGCAUACGACCUGAGGGUGAAAGCGGGGGACCGAAAGGCCUCGCGCUAUUGUAGCGGCCGAUGUCGGAUUAGCUAGUUGGUGGGGUAAAGGCUUACCAAGGCGACGGUCCGUAGCUGGUCUGAGAGGACGACCAGCCAGACUGGCACUGAGACACGGCCGAGACUCCGACGGGAGGCAGCAGUGGGGAAUUUUGGACAAGGGGGGAAAGCCGGAUCCUGCAAUGUCGCGGGAGGGAAGAAGGACUUAGGGUUGUAAACCGAUUUUGUUCGUGAAGAAGUACUGUGGGCUAAUCCGCCGGGGGGAUGACGGUACCGGAAGAAUAAGCACCGGCUAACUACGUG
rnacentral:rRNA from 1 species